rnacentral:misc_RNA from 1 species
GAUGAGGAACUCAGCGAAUCGCGAUAAGUAAUGUGAAUUGCAGAUUUUCCGUGAAUCAUCGAAUCUUUGAACGCACCUUGCGCUCCUUGGUAUUCCGAGGAGCAUGCCUGUUUGAGUGUCAUCGAAACCUCGGAUCGACGCUUCGACCCCGUCGAAGCUCGGUUCGGACUGUGGGAGUCUGCCGGCGAAGCGUGACUUCGUCGGCUCUCCUCAAAAGCAUUAGCUGUGGGUGGCGAGCCUGGCAUGGCACGGCCUGUUCGACGUCGUAGUGAUCGUCGCGGGCUGGAAGUGUAUGGCUCGACGUGACCCAUGCUUCUCGAGUCUUGCGAGCCCGUCCCUCUGUGGGACGGCCGCGCCCCAUCGAAGCUUGACCUCAAAUCAGGUAGGACUACCCGCCGAACUUAAGCAUAUCAAUAAGCGGAGGA